AUAUAGGCUACUUUUUCCUUCUUGCAUGUUUUCUUCAUUUAUUUAUAACCCUCCUGAUUAGACUUGAUUGGCCACAAUAAAGAUUAAAUUUUUAUUUCAGGAAAUGCUGAAGAAAUACUGGCUCAAAUUUCUGUCUCCUUCCCACUAAUGACCCACUGAGACUCCUGACAGGUCACCUGAUGACUUCCUGCACUCUCUGCUAGGACUUCAUUUUCACUUUGGGAUGGACAGGACUUCAUAGGACCAAACAGAGGGGAAUGGCAGAGAGGAACAGCUGAGAACAAGGAAACUCUCUUCUGAACCUGGAUAUCAUGGACUAUACAGCUACUGCAGAGCCACCUGUGUAAGAAAACACCUACUUGUUUGCCACUCUCACUCUCUGUACAUAGAAUACGUAUGUGGGUACCUGUCACUCCCCUGUACAUUAACAGAAUGUUAGAAUUUGUUCUGUGUUCAAACUGAUGAAAUGUUCUAUAGAGCAGUGUAUAAACUAGUCUCUUCCAAAUUACUUGUCUGAAAAUAUCUUUGAAAUCCUUCCUUCAGGAUGGUGUUAUCAGACAUGUGAGAACACCCACAGAAGCCAGGUUGCAAAAUAAUUCUUCAAAACUCCUGCAAGGUGUCAAUUGACUAAAGCCAUUUGCUCAGUUCUGCAGUAGGAGAAGUCAAUAGAAAAUCCACCUUACCACUGUUUAUGUUUCAGCCAUUUCAGCUUCAAAAUACAUACCUUUUUUUAUGCUUUACUGACCAUUACAGAA
rnacentral:lncRNA from 1 species